UACGAAGGGGGCUAGCGUUGCUCGGAAUCACUGGGCGUAAAGGGUGCGUAGGCGGGUCUUUAAGUCAGGGGUGAAAUCCUGGAGCUCAACUCCAGAACUGCCUUUGAUACUGAAGAUCUUGAGUUCGGGAGAGGUGAGUGGAACUGCGAGUGUAGAGGUAAAAUUCGUAGAUAUUCGCAAGAACACCAGUGGCGAAGGCGGCUCACUGGCCCGAUACUGACGCUGAGGCACGAAAGCGUGGGGAGCAAACAGG
rnacentral:rRNA from 1 species